CAGAAAUUUUCACUCCAGUAUCACUCCCUCAUCACAAGGAAAGCCAAACGCCUGUCUUCCCGGCUUUCUCAAGCCAUUUUCAGACCUGCUUGCAAUCCUGCCCUGUCCGCCUCAGAAAGUCUCAUUAUGCAUGUGUUUCCUAUGUGCUUUGCAUUGUGCUAAGUGCUGUCAAUACAGACAUUUUUGGAGUUGGAUUUGAGAUAACAGCACCCUCAGAAUGGAUGGAAAACAACAGCAGCAUGUUGUGAAUAUUGAACAAAAUAAGGCUGAGCAGGUUACAGGAAAACCAUGGUCACUCUGGAAAACAUUUCUGGUGUCUCUGUUGGCCUGUCUAAUUGCCACCUCCCUUGUAGUUCUGGUCUUAUAUUUUAUCCACUUUGGCAAGCCCACCAGUGAUACCACUAUCAUCAUCCACGCAGAUGGAAAGUCCUGUCGGGUCAACUGCCUCCCUGGUCCUACCCCAUCUCUUGCCCCUCCUGGGCCUCAGUACAUCCCACCUGAUACUCCUGUGAUCAACCAAAGUUCCUCUGCUAAGGUAUCCACAUCUGCUGCAACACAGCGCCAUGAAGUUGUCGUCGAGUAGCAGUCACAUUCUUGACCCCUCAGUCCUCCUCGAGCCAGAUCAACAUCCUUACGCUAAAAGAGAAUACUUCAAAGGAAGAGUUUUCCAAGCCAUGACUGGAUUAUGGGAGAUUAGCAGCCUCAAAAGCAACUGUGGCAUAUAGUGAAUGAAAUUAUAUUACUGGUGGAGAAGCCACAAGAUUCUGCUGCAAAAAAUGGUGACGUUGGCAUCCGUGAAGCAUGGGAACCCCCUGGGGACAGUCAUCUGAGACUCUAUUCAUGGCUCUACACCUGAAUAACAAACUGUAGUCCAGAAACUGCCCAGUGACCUUCAAGCCAGUGAGAAUCCAGAGGAAAAGGAAGUAAAACUUGGUUUGGGGGAUUUUAUUUUCUACAUUGUUCUUACUGGCAAAGCCUCAGCAGUAGCCAGUGGAGACUGGAACACAACUGUAACCUGUUUUGUAGAUGUGUUAAUUUGCCCCAGGAAAUUCUGGUUAGUACCUCUGAUCAGGAACCACUGCUUCAAGCUCAGCAACCUGUGUAUGUAUGGGAAUAAAUCUACUAGAGAUCAGUA